rnacentral:lncRNA from 7 species
AUCUCUGGUUAGAGACCCCUCCUUGCUGAAGCUUUCCUCUAUGAACCUGGAAUCUUCUGAUAUGGCACAUGCACAUGUGCCAGGAACACUACCUGCUUUCCCUGACGUGGUGCCUGCAUUCAGACCCCACCAGAAGUCCUCACCACCACUGAGGUUUCUUAUCAGCACCUCUCCCCAGGAGCGGGACCAUCACCUCUCAAUCCCACACCCACCCCAAGUGUCAUGGGAAGAAAGACACAGAAGAUGGUAUCCUUCUGGUCAUCUGCUGAUUUACAAGCUUCCUUUCUCCUUGUGUCAUCCUUUCUGUGCACAGUAGAAUAGAAGGAAGAGGCUGCUAGAACCUGGGUGCUGCAUGGCCUUCUCCUCAUGGCUGUGCAGGAAGGAUGGGGAUGGAAAGUAAAAUGUGCUGAGGGAAAAUUCCAGGGGGGCCUUCUUCUGUUCACUUCCCAAAUAUAUUGAAAAGAAAAAUUAUGUGAGCAAAGAGUUGCCAGAAAGACAGAGAAGGAAAGUGAGAUGCUGUCUGCAUCUCAUGUCCCUGGAAGCUAGGCUCUCAUUGACACAGGUCUGACAGGCUCCAGUCUUGUCUCAGAUGAUAUAAAGCAUGGCUGAGCUCUGCAGCCUCCAUCACCACCUGUCCCACUGUCCUGCUGGCAGCAUCCUUCCUUUGACAGGAAAAUCCUUGUUUUCUGUUUGUGCCAGGGAGAAUUGUGGUAGUGCAGGAGAAAUGCCAAUUUUUUACUUUUUUUUUUCUCAUGCUGUGAAAGGCAUAAGUUUGGCAAAAGGCAGUGAGCAUCAGCAUCACCAGCUUCUUUUUGACAUAUUCUUGAAAAAUUCCUUGCUUCUCUCAUAAAUCUGUGACUUAUGUAAGUACUCUGUUUUCAGUCUUAAAGCUAAAGGCAAGUAUCAAUGUUUAAACCUAUUUUUAAAAUGAGUUGCAUUUAUAAUCUGUGAUCUUCAACUGAAGUUUUAGAAGUGCUCUCAUCCUUGAAAAGAAGAGACCAUUUUGCUUUUAGAGACUAAUGAUAAAGUGCUUUCUAAAGGUAACUGAGCGUAGCACAGAGUCUUAAAUAUAUUUAUUAGGUUAUUAAGCGUAAUGAAUAGAGUCUGGUUGCUAAUAUUAGCUAUGCUUUUGCAAGUGAAAAGCACUUUCGGUUAGUUAGACAGCUUCUUAUCAAAGAACAAAAAUGCUCCAUUAAAACAUAUGCAGCUUACUGAAUAAUCAUGUUAUUUGUCAGACAAGCAGAAGAAUAAUCACUGAAGCACUCUCCAAGUGCCAAAUUGGGUAAUAGACGUAAUUAGGAUCCAUUUGAUUAGAUGUGUGCCCAUGGUAACAGUCACACUCACGAUCCACGUAUUAGUACAGCCUUGAAAUAAUCUUCAAGGGGGCUGAUUGCAGCAGAGUACAUCUGAAGCUUCACUCCGGAGACUUUUGGAGCAUAACCUGCAUGCUGAUUUCCUCUGUUUCUGUGGUUAUUCUUUAUUUUUAAAACAAUGCGUGCCAUGAUCCUCGAAGGUGAUAUACUGCUUCCACGAAAUGUCACUGCACUUUUCUCCCUAAAAGGAAGAACCCUUAAUUAUCUCCAUCACAUUUCAAAGCCUAAAACCUUCCUAUAUUUAGGGAUGUACAACAGCAACUGGCAAGGCUGCUGCAAGCUGUUACUAGGAGGUGGGAACAAUCAUCACCUGGAAGCUGGCCCAUCUCACAUCCACUCUCAUUUUGCAGCCCAGGACAGCCCAGUGAUGGAUAAGGCCUUCUGGAUGUUCUUUUAGGCCGUCACAGGAAGCAUGUGAAGACACUGCAAGGACUCAGUGAGAAGAUGGAUUUUGCAUAAGAUCCAAAACUCUGAGAGAGCCUGCAAGUGCUGAUCCACUGCCAACCCGCAGGGAAUGAGCCUGGAGGGUACUAUUUGGGUAACAGUGGAACCCAGGAGAGUUUCUUCAGCCAUAGAUGCAAUAUGAAUUGUUCCUGCAGUUUAUUUUUACACAUUUAGAGGGUGAAUUAAUUUGGAAAAUUCGGAUAGAAUCAGAAUUAGCAGAAUGAAUAAUUAGGUGUUAUUUAUGAAAAAUGAGAGAAACACUUACCCUAGCACUGCAACCGUUUAUGUCUGGGACUGAUGAGAAUUGUUGUUUUGCAGAAAUGCUUACUGGGAAGUAUGUAAAAGAAGCUUUUUAUCCCAGUGAGGAAGACGCAAGGAUGCACAAAAGUUCACCCAGGUGAAGGCACCCAAAAAAGACUGGGUUGUAGCAGGGAAACUUAGGGAUUAAAUACCCAGAGUCUGACAGCAGAGGGGUGUGGAGUACACUAGGGGAGUCCUGGCCAGGCUGGGCCAAAGGGCUGAGACCCAUGUGGCUGAAGUCUUGCCUUGUGAACUGUCCCACUGAGGCAAGAGAGUGUGGUAUACCUACGUGCAGACACCUUGCCCUGUAGAUACAAGCUGGGAUUCAGCAUCAAGGAGUCACAUUUGUGAAUGUGUAAUGCAGAAGGAAUCAGCACUGAAGGACUAUGCAAAAUAAACAUUCAGAGAUUUAGGAUGGCUUCUGGGAAAAAGUGGUUUAUCUCAAGUGUAUGGAUAAGCACAGAGCAGCUAAAAGGUUUUGAUGGGGAAGCUCAGGGGAGGAUUUGGCUGUUGCACUGCAGAAGAGGAACACUUUCUCCAGGGGUUCCAUGACACGUGGAGCCACAUUUGCAGCCUUCAGCUGGAAGGCAACGAUGCUAUGAGAUUAGCCCUGAGGAGAAGGAUUUGGGGGUGUCAGUUGAUGAAAGACUCCAUGUGACCCAGCAAUGUGCACUUGUAGCU